AUUGAACGCUGGCGGCAUGCCUUACACAUGCAAGUCGAACGGCAGCACGGGUGCUUGCACCUGGUGGCGAGUGGCGAACGGGUGAGUAAUACAUCGGAACGUACCUUAUCGUGGGGGAUAACGCAGCGAAAGCUGUGCUAAUACCGCAUACGCCCUGAGGGGGAAAGCGGGGGAUCGAAAGACCUCGCGCGAUUAGAGCGGCCGAUGCCUGAUUAGCUUGUUGGUGGGGUAAAAGCCCACCAAGGCGACGAUCAGUAGCUGGUCUGAGAGGACGAUGAGCCACACUGGGACUGAGACACGGCCCAGACUCCUACGGGAGGCAGCAGUGGGGAAUUUUGGACAAUGGGGCAACCCUGAUCCAGCAAUGCCGCGUGAGUGAAGAAGGCCUUUGGGUUGUAAAGCUCUUUUGUCAGGGAAGAAACACCGGCUCUAACACAGUCCGGGAAUGACGGUACCUGAAGAAUAAGCACCGGCUAACUACGUGCCAGCCGCCGCCGUAA
rnacentral:rRNA from 1 species